rnacentral:rRNA from 1 species
CAGUAGCCGCGGUAAUACGUAGGGUGCAAGCGUUAAUCGGAAUUACUGGGCGUAAAGCGUGCGCAGGCGGUUUGUUAAGACAGAUGUGAAAUCCCCGGGCUCAACCUGGGAACUGCAUUUGUGACUGGCAAGCUAGAGUCUGGCAGAGGGGGGUGGAAUUCCGCGUGUAGCAGUGAAAUGCGUAGAUAUGCGGAGGAACACCGAUGGCGAAGGCAGCCCCCUGGGCCAACACUGACGCUCAUGCACGAAAGCGUGGGGAGCAAACAGGAUUAGAUACCCGAGUAGUCCCUGUCUCUUAUAA